GAUUAACGCUAGCGGCAGGCAUAAUACAUGCAAGUUGAACGGCAGCACAGGUAGCAAUACUGGGUGGCGAGUGGCGCACGGGUGCGUAACACGUAUGCAACCUACCCUAUACAGGCGAAUAACCUUUAGAAAUGAGGGCUAAUACGCCGUAGUAUUACAGAUGGGCAUCUAUUUGUAAUUAAAGAUUUAUCGGUAUAGGAUGGGCAUGCGUCCCAUUAGUUAGUUGGUAAGGUAACGGCUUACCAAGACGAUGAUGGGUAGGGGAUCUGAGAGGACUUACCCCCACACUGGUACGGAGACACGGACCAGACUCCUACGGGAGGCAGCAGUAAGGAAUAUUGGGCAAUGGCCGCGAGGCUGACCCAGCCAUGCCGCGUGCAGGAAGACGGCCUUAUGGGUUGUAAACUGCUUUUAUACGGGAAUAAUAGAGUGUACGCGUACAUUUAUGCAAGUAUCGUAUGAAUAAGCAUCGGCUAACUCCGUG
rnacentral:rRNA from 1 species